rnacentral:rRNA from 1 species
UACAGAGGGGGCAAGCGUUGUUCGGAAUUACUGGGCGUAAAGGGCGCGUAGGCGGCCUGCUAAGUCGAACGUGAAAUCCCCGGGCUCAACCCGGGAACUGCGUCCGAUACUGGCAGGCUUGAAUCCGGGAGAGGGAUGCGGAAUUCCAGGUGUAGCGGUGAAAUGCGUAGAUAUCUGGAGGAACACCGGUGGCGAAGGCGGCAUCCUGGACCGGCAUUGACGCUGAUGAGCGAAAGCUAGGGGAGCAAACGGG